rnacentral:rRNA from 1 species
CGUCAAGUCAGCAUGGCCUUUAUGUCCUGGGCUACACACACGCUACAAUGGCCAACACAAUAGGUUGCUAAGCCGCGAGGUGGAGCCAAUCCUCAAAGUUGGUCUCAGUUCAGAUUGCAGGCUGCAACCCGCCUGCAUGAAGAUGGAGUUGCUAGUAACCGCAGGUCAGCUAUACUGCGGUGAAUACGUUCCCGGGGCUU